rnacentral:rRNA from 1 species
UAUUAUACUAAAUUGCAAGAGAAAACUAGAAUACUAUAAGGUAUAGUCUUUAAAUUCAAAGAAUUUGGCGGUAACUUAGUCUUUCCAGAGGAACCUGUUUCUUAAUCGAUAAACCACGAAUAAUCUUACUUGCCUUUGUAUAAGUUUAAGUUUGUAUACCGUCAUUAUCAGAUAAUAUUUAAAGGUUAAAAUUAUUGAAUAUUUAAAUAGUAAGAAAAAUUAGAUCAAGGUGCAGCUUAUAGGUAAGUUGAAAUGGGUUACAAUUAAGCUAAUAUAAAAAUGGAAUAAAGUCUGAAACGAUUUUAAGAAGGAGGAUUUGGUUGUAAAGGGAAUUAAUAUGAUAAAAAGAUAUAAGCUCUAAGUUAU